rnacentral:lncRNA from 1 species
CUUUGAGAUCUCCUAUGCUCUGGAUACCACCCAGUGUCUCAAUUGACUUCCUGUUGCCUGAAAGAUGUAGGACUCUCAGCUACUACUCCGUACCAUGCCUGCCUGCCUGCACACCACCAUACUCCCUGCCAUGAUGACAAUGGACUGAACCUCUGAAACUGAAGAACUUGGGGAUGUCGGAGUGGCUGCCUAUCCUCUGAAGUACUACACCAUCAUCCACAGACCUCGGGUUAACAUGAAGGUCACAUGGUGAAGGGUGCUAUUGAGACAGAGUACAUACAAACCAGAUAUAGCUUCUGCCUUAGGGGUAUGUGAUGAACUUCAGAAACACCAAUAAAUCACCAACUAUUAACACCAAUUGUGUAAGAACUAAGAAAAAGAAGUGCUAUGGAAGAUAAUAAAGGAUGUGUGCUUAAGCUGAGAAGUCAAAGGCAAGCAGGGAAGCAGUGUGGUCUGACCCUGGAACUUUUAGGGACAACUCUCUGAAGAAUCAAGAUGGCAUGUUUGUGAUUCCUUUGGCCUGUCACUUGUGUUAUUUUUCCUAGCAAUCACACAUUUUAAACGGU